ACAAUCUUAUUUAGUUACAAAACUAUAUAAUAGUGCAAUUUUAAUGCUCUAACUCCACUAAUUAUAACUUUAGCCAUGUUGUUUCUUAUUCUUUUUAGAGUGCCAGCUGGUGAUCAUAUUUGAUCUGGUGCAGAGCAGUCUUAGUUUCUUGCGACAGUCAAAACUGGAUGUAGAAAAAAGUGCUUUGCAGUUAUCACUGGAAAGACCUCUUGAUACAGCCAUUCUUUCGAGCCUCACUGGUGUUCGCUCCAACAUGGCUAACCAGUGGCAUAGUACACUUCGACAAAAUGCUGCAAAACUGGACACAAUAUUUGAAAAUCUACUGAAGCUGGGGCAGACGGCUGGCCAGUCAGUGCGUGCUGUCCAAAAGCGUGGAAUGCAGAAUGAACCUAUAGAAGCAGAGGAGCUUCCCAGAUCAGCCAUUAACAAUGAAUGUGCAUUUUUUCACUUUCCCUAUGCUUUUUCCAUGGUUAUACUAUGCAUUUACCACAGUUUGCCCUGGUUUGCCAUGUUUUUAUUUAAUAUGUUUUACCAUACCUCAUUGUGCUUUAUAAUGCUUACCUCAGCUUUGCCAUGCUUUCACUGUGCUUUAUUACACGUGUUUUGGUUUUAUUUAAGU